rnacentral:rRNA from 1 species
GACGAACGCUGGCGGCGUGCUUAACACAUGCAAGUCGAACGGAAAGGCCCUGCUUUUGUGGGGUGCUCGAGUGGCGAACGGGUGAGUAACACGUGAGUAACCUGCCCUUGACUUUGGGAUAACUUCAGGAAACUGGGGCUAAUACCGGAUAGGAGCUCCUGCUGCAUGGUGGGGGUUGGAAAGUUUCGGCGGUUGGGGAUGGACUCGCGGCUUAUCAGCUUGUUGGUGGGGUAGUGGCUUACCAAGGCUUUGACGGGUAGCCGGCCUGAGAGGGUGACCGGCCACAUUGGGACUGGGAUACGGCCCAGACUCCUACGGGAGGCAGGAGUGGGGAAUAUUGCACAAUGGGCGGAAGCCUGAUGCAGCAACGCCGCGUGCGGGAUGACGGCCUUCGGGUUGUAAACCGCUUUCGCCUGUGACGAAGCGUGAGUGAGGGUAAUGGGUAAAGAAGCACCGGCUAACUACGU